AAACAUGAGCUAACUGUGUGUGUGUGUGUGUGCGUGUAUAUAUGUGUGUGUGUGUGUGUGUGUGUGUGUGUGUGUAGACGGGUGAGGGUCCUCAACCAGCAGCUACAGGAGCGAGAGCGAGCGGAGAAAGAGCAGGGCGCGCUCACUGUGUUCCAUUCUGAAGCCCUCAGCGUGCAGAAUGAGCUUCUCACGGCUCAGGCCGACCUGGUGGAGCUACGGAGAACCCUGCAGGAAACACAGGCCACGCUGAGGGAGCGGGAGGCGGAGAACGCGCUGAUCAAGUCAGAAUUAGAGGCUGUGAGACGGAAACUACACGAGAGUGAGAAGGAGAGAGAACGGCUGACCUCAGCUCCCCAGUGUACACUGGAGGAGAUGGACACCACUAACAGGUUUCCUCAGGGUUGGCCUACCGAUGGAGUGACACCAGCGCCCCCUACUGACCGCAUCACCCACUACCUUUUAUCUCUACCAAAAGCAGCUCGCACAUCCCAGCUAACAGAAAAACCACUGAGUGGACCAUGUGACCAUUCCAGACUGUCUCUGAGUGAAACUCUAACCAACUGCAGCGUCGCUUCAGGGUCCACCUUCAACACCAAGGACGAGGUGGCGUUCAGGGACGGCCUGGCGGCGUUAGAUGCCAGUAUAGCCAGUCUGCAGAGAACCAUCAAGCUGGACCUGAAACAAUGACGCUGGUCACAGUCCUGCUUGUUUUUUAAUCAGUAACACGUGAAUGCAUUGAUCGUAGUAUAAUUAUAUUUCAAUAAAGUAUAUUCAAACAC
rnacentral:lncRNA from 1 species